UACGAAGGGGGCUAGCGUUGCUCGGAAUCACUGGGCGUAAAGCGCACGUAGGCGGAUUGCUAAGUCAGGGGUGAAAUCCUGGAGCUCAACUCCAGAACUGCCCUUGAUACUGGCGGUCUCGAGUCCGGGAGAGGUGAGUGGAACUGCGAGUGUAGAGGUGAAAUUCGUAGAUAUUCGCAAGAACACCAGUGGCGAAGGCGGCUCACUGGCCCGGUACUGACGCUGAGGUGCGAAAGCGUGGGGAGCGAACCGG
rnacentral:rRNA from 1 species